rnacentral:rRNA from 1 species
UAAAAGGUUAAAGAAAUCGUGUAGCCUCUCCACCUAUCCUAUCCCAUCCUCCUAGAAUGGUUGUGUGGUGGACGCAGUCAAUUAGUCAAACAAACAACGAAGACGGACGGACUAACUAACUAAACCAACCUGUUCUCGUUCUGCUGUGGUGGAGUGGAGACGGAGACGCCUUGACGACGUUGGGCUAGCUUCGAGGAGGAGACGGAAGGGGUUUCGGCCUUCGACUUCGUUUAGGUUCGUCGCGGCUAGUAGGUUGAGUAGGAACCUGUAGUUGAUUAAGUCUAAGUCCUCACACACGUAGGGGGUUAAUUAAUUAGGGCCCUCUAACUUUGGAAAUAGUGGUCGUCAUCAUCAUGUAUAGAGGGAAGGAAUAAGAAUCCGUCACAUAUUGAUCAUAAAUACUGAAAGGAGAAAACAAGAUAAAAUGAGGGAGGCAGGGUUUUAAGAACAGAAUCUAAGCAGAUCUAUACCUACAUAGAUUAUGAUUUUACACUGAACUAUGUAGGCAUAAAUCUGUUUAGAUUCUAUUCUUAAAACCCUGCCUCCCUCAUAAAUAAUGACAUGAAGACAGCUAACACAAGAACCUACCCACGAUCAUUUUCUAACGUCGCUUAACUAUAAGAAAUACGCAAAGCAAAGGGCGCACGGUUUAGGAGGGGGAUGAGGAGGAGGAACCGGUCAAUGAUUUGUAAAAGGGAGUCUUUAGAGCGGCAGCGGCCGAGAAAGGAAGGAAGGAAAGCAGGAGGCCGGUGGUCUCUCUAGCGUUUGGCGGUUCAAAGGGACGGCCGGUUCUAAACUAAACUAACUCAUCAUUGGCGGCGACGACGAGCAUACGUAGGGGUCAAUUAAGGCUUAACUUAAAAUCCAUCUACAAAGCCAGCUAGCUAGUUAGGUGCCAGACUUCUUAGAGACAAAAAGAACUCGAGUCCCCGUACGGCCCUCCUUCCCCUCCUCCUCCACCUCGCCGCCACGUCCACCUGCCGUUCCUGCCCGUGCGCCGCGGCCGCUCCCGCCGCGGGUCCUCGAAGGGCCGCUUCGAGGAGUCCGGCCACGACGAGAGGCGCCACGAGCGGUGGCCGAAGGAGCGGCGCUGGGACGAGUACAAGAAGCCGCCGCGGAGGAGGAUGAUGGCGGAGGGCUCCGAGCGGCACGGCCUGCGGGACGAGGGGCGCGGUGGCCGCACGCUGGUGGUCUUCGUCCCCCUCCUCCUGGCCGUACCGCCCCGCCGCCCCGCCACCACCCCCGCCGGCGGCCGGUCCUCGCGCACCGUGUUGUACUCGCUGCUCCUCGACGAGACCCGCCGCAGCAAGCUCGGCGCGCGCGUCGCGGCCGGCGUGGCCGCGCGCUGGGGGUUCCACCGGAAGAACAAGGAGUGGGCGCCGGGCGACGGCGACCGCGGCGAGACCCUCGCGAAGAAGUUGUCGUGGCCGCGGUUCCGUCCCUCGAGAAGAGGCACAUGCACGUGUGGUGCGGCCCGAUGGCGGAGCUGAAGGGCGGCAGGAGCGGCAAGGUGGUGGCCGUCCACGGGUCGUUCGGCUGCGCCACCCCGAUGCACUUACAGCACCUGCGCCUCGCUGCCGACGACCGCUUGCGCGAGGAGCUGGAGUGGUUGCUCGCGAAGCACGAGCAGAGGUUCAGGACGUAGGGCGAGAUGGGCGAGGGCCACCACGUACGGAUGGACUGGGCGAGAGCCGUGUCGAAGCAGCCGCGGAAGCUGCUGGGCUCGGGCGUGCCGGCCCCGGCCAUGGCGCGGCCCGACCGGGGCCUACACUGAGAGAGGGUCACCGCGUUCCCGCGUGUCACCAAGCUCUACCUGGCCGCGGAGCGGCACAAACACUAACGGCUACUGGCCAUGAUGGGCGCCAAAGCCUGGUUCACGGCUCGCGGCACGAUGCACCUGCUCGUGAUGGAGGGCUGGCACGAGAGGUAGCUCCGAGGCCUCGCGUAGCGGUUGGCCUCGUAGUGGAACCAGCUGACCAGAGCGCCGCCGCGCGUGGGCCGGUGGAAGCCGCGGCGGCUGCACUGACUCCUGAAGGACCCCUACGAACACCCCUUCUUCCCCUUACGACUCUCCACGUACAUGUUGCCCGUCGGCCAGCUCCACACGAAGGAGAAACGUUCCUUCAAGCGGGGGCGGCGCUACGGUGUCGACGAGGUGGAAAGGAGCUUCUAGGAACCCAUGAUCGAUACGGAAAAUGAUUUAACUAAAACGAGACGAAUACAUAUCGAGUAUGAGUGACCUCCCCUUAUCUCCUUAUGUUAAGAAAAAAAAAGUACACAAUGUUCCUGUUUUCCUACUUACUAGCUCACCCAUCAACAAAGAAUUGCGGAAUCCAGGGGAAACCAAGUUUCCUUAAAAUAUCCUAAAUACCUCCUAACUUUAGGAAUCCUAAAAAAAGAUACAACCAGUACACGUAGUAUCCUAAGUUAUGACA